ACCCAUUCAUUCCCAAUGACUGUCUGUGUGAAUCAAUGGCUGUGAAUUAACUGAUUCACAGACACAUCAAUUCACACAGACAGUCAUUCACACUCAUCCAAUCACCAGAGAGUGAUUCUCACAAAACCCCCAAUGGCAGGAAUCGAACCAGUGUCUCCAGAACAGAUCCUCAACAGCUCUAUCACCUGCGCCACAGAGACACCGACUUAGAAACGGAGAGAGUUCAUUGUUGACCCUACAAUACACAUGACAUUGUUGGAAAAGGUUUCCAAACCAAGGUGAGUGUUCCUGCCAGGAUUUGAACCCAGGUCAUGUACACGACUCAAGAACCUAACACAUACAGCUCUAUCCACUGCCCCACUGACCAACCGGUUCAGACUUAAUCAGAGUUCAUAAUUGACUUAACAAUUCACAAGAAGCAAUGUCGCGUGAAAUUGAAGGUCAAUUAUAACCUCCAACCACUUAAUAGUAAGUGUCUCGGUGGCGCAUGUGAGAGAGCUGUUGGGUAUCAGUUCUGGAGACAUGGGUUCAACUCCCAUCUGACACACUCUCACCUGGGACACACAGACACACUCCCACCUGGAAUCCAGGAGGGAGUACAAUAUUUUCGUUAAAGUAAAGGGACAACUUUUAUCAAUAUGUCCCCUCCUCCGGGUCUCUAUCACCUGCGCCACAGAGACACCGACUUAGAAACGGAGGGAGUUCAUUGUUGACCCUACAAUACACAUGACAUUGUUGGAAAAUGUCUCCAAGGUGAGUGUUCCUGACGGGAUUUGAACACAGGUCAUAUACACGACUCAGGAUCAGAACACAUACAGCUCUAUCCACUGCCCCUAUGAGCAACUGGUUCAGACUAAAUCAGAGUUCAUAAUUGACUUAACAAUUCACAAGAAGAAAUGUCACAUGAAAUUGAAUGUCAAUAAUAUCAUUCUUUUUAGCCGUGCGUGCGUAGACUCGAACCUGAGUCGACAGAGCGUUAACCAACAGCCCUGACCGCUGCACCACCAAGACGCCCCCAGAGCAUGUUUGGAGGUUAUACUUGACUUUACCAUUCACAUGAUAGAGAAAUAAGAUGUAUCUAUUGAGGUACCUCUUGAACCCUGGUUCUGAGAAGGGAACCCGCACCUGCAGAGUGUUAACCCACAGCCCUGACCGCCACACCACCAAGACACAUAUCGGGAAGUUUUGGAGGUUACACUUGACUUUACAAUACACACAGUCUAGAAAUAAGAGGUGUCCAUUAAGGUACUUACUCCAUCAGGGGACUUAAAGCCUGGGUCUAAGCGGUGAACAGAAUCUAG
ensembl:lncRNA